UACGAAGGGGGCGAGCGUUGUUCGGAGUUACUGGGCGUAAAGGGCGCGUAGGCGGCCGAUCAAGUUAGGCGUGAAAGCCCCGGGCUUAACCUGGGAAUUGCGCUUAAGACUGAUUGGCUUGAGUGCGGGAGAGGUGAGUGGAAUUCCCAGUGUAGAGGUGAAAUUCGUAGAUAUUGGGAAGAACACCAGUGGCGAAGGCGGCUCACUGGCCCGCAACUGACGCUGAGGCGCGAAAGCGUGGGGAGCAAACAGG
rnacentral:rRNA from 1 species